CCUACGGGAGGUAGCAGUGGGGAAUAUUGGACAAUGGGCGAAAGCCUGAUCCAGCAAUGCCGCGUGAGUGAUGAAGGCCUUCGGGUCGUAAAGCUCUUUUACCAGGGAUGAUAAUGACAGUACCUGGAGAAUAAGCUCCGGCUAACUCCGUGCCAGCAGCCGCGGUAAUACGGAGGGAGCUAGCGUUGUUCGGAAUUACUGGGCGUAAAGAGUACGUAGGCGGUUAUUCAAGUCAGAGGUGAAAGCCCGGGGCUCAACCCCGGAACUGCCUUUGAAACUAGAUAACUAGAGUCUUGGAGAGGUUAGUGGAAUUCCGAGUGUAGAGGUGAAAUUCGUAGAUAUUCGGAAGAACACCAGUGGCGAAGGCGACUAACUGGACAAGUACUGACGCUGAGGUACGAAAGCGUGGGGAGCAAACAGGAUUAGAUACCCUGGUAGUCCACGCCGUAAACGAUGAUAACUAGUUGUUCGGUCACUUGGUGACUGAGUGACGCAGCUAACGCAUUAAGUUAUCCGCCUGGGGAGUACGGUCGCAAGAUUAAAACUCAAAAGGAAUUGACGG
rnacentral:rRNA from 1 species